AGAGUUUGAUCAUGGCUCAGAACGAACGCUGGCGGCAUGCCUAACACAUGCAAGUCGAACGAGACCUUCGGGUCUAGUGGCGCACGGGUGCGUAACGCGUGGGAAUCUGCCCCUUGGUUCGGAAUAACAGCGAGAAAUUGCUGCUAAUACCGGAUAAUGACGUAAGUCCAAAGAUUUAUCGCCAAGGGAUGAGCCCGCGUAGGAUUAGCUAGUUGGUGUGGUAAAGGCGCACCAAGGCGACGAUCCUUAGCUGGUCUGAGAGGAGGAUCAGCCACACUGGGACCGAGACACGGCCCAGACUCCUACGGGAGGCAGCAGUGGGGAAUAUUGGACAAUGGGCGAAAGCCUGAUCCAGCAAUGCCGCGUGAGUGAUGAAGGCCUUAGGGUUGUAAAGCUCUUUUACCCGGGAUGAUAAUGACAGUACCGGGAGAAUAAGCUCCGGCUAGCUCCGUGCCAGCAGCCGCGGUAAUUC
rnacentral:rRNA from 1 species